rnacentral:rRNA from 1 species
ACGGAGGGGGCGAGCGUUAUUCGGAUUUACUGGGCGUAAAGCGCACGUAGGCGGCGAGGUAUGUCAAAGGUGAAAGCCCUCGGCUCAACCGAGGAAUUGCCUUUGAAACUGCUUCGCUUGAGUCCGGGAGGGGGGAGCGGAAUUCCCAGUGUAGCGGUGAAAUGCGUAGAUACUGGGAGGAACACCGGUGGCGAAGGCGGCUCCCUGGACCGGUACUGACGCUGAGGUGCGAAAGCGUGGGUAGCAAACAGG